rnacentral:rRNA from 1 species
GACGAACGCUGGCGGCGUGCCUAACACAUGCAAGUCGAACGAUGAAACCGGAGCUUGCUCUGGAGAAUUAGUGGCGAAGGGGUGCGUAACACGUGCGUAACCUGCCCUUGACUCCGGGAUAACGGCGGGAAACUGUAGCUAAUACCGGAUAAGACCCGCGGAGGCAUUGCCCGGGGGUGGAAAGAAUUUGGGUCAAGGAUGGACUCGCGGCCUAUCAGCUAGUCGGUAAGGUAAAGGCUGACAAAGGCGACGACGGGUAACCGGCCUGAGAGGGUGACCGGCCACAGUGGGACUGAGACACGGCCCAGACUCCUACGGGAGGCAGCAGUGGGGAAUAUUGCACAAUGGACGCAAGCCUGAUGCAGCAACGCCGCGUGAGGGAUGACGGCCUUCUGGUUGUAAACCUCUUUUAGCAGGGAAGAAGCGAAAGUGACGGUACCUGCAGAAAAAGCACCGGCUAACUACGUGCCAGCAGCCGCCGUAA